rnacentral:rRNA from 1 species
UACGUAGGAGGCAAGCGUUAUCCGGAUUUACUGGGCGUAAAGCGCGUGCAGGCGGUUUGGUAAGUUGGAUGUGAAAGCUCCUGGCUUAACUGGGAGAGGUCGUUCAAAACUACCAGACUUGAGGAUGGUAGAGGGAGAUGGAAUUCCGGGUGUAGUGGUGAAAUGCGUAGAUAUCCGGAGGAACACCAGUGGCGAAAGCGGUCUCCUGGACCAUUUCUGACGCUCAGACGCGAAAGCUAGGGUAGCAAACGGGAUUAGAGACCCCGGUAGUCCUAGCUGUAAACGAUGUAGACUUGGCGUCGGCGGGUUUAAAUCCGUCGGUGUCGAAGCUAACGCGAUAAGUCUACCGCCUGGGGACUACGGCCGCAAGGUUAAA